GUUCCCUUGUCUUACUCAUUGUCAAAAUGCAGACCCGAUUAAAGGCAUGGAAAAGGCAUCAGACAGUGGAGGAAAAAUUUAGCAGCAGUCAAUAGCUUCUGGUCCAGAACAACGGAAAAGGUGAAUCAUUCCAAGAUUAUCGAAGGAUCGAGAGUACCAUCGAGAGCAUCACCGGAAAUGAGAUGGUACUCUCAAGCCAACAUAGAAAUCAAGGAAAGAACUUCAACAUCAGAGAAAAUGAAGAAAUGCAAUUAUUUAUGA